GCUUCGGUGGUGGAUUAGUGGCGAACGGGUGAGUAACACGUGGGCAAUCUGCCCUUCACUCUGGGACAAGCCCUGGAAACGGGGUCUAAUACCGGAUAACACUCUGUCCCGCAUGGGACGGGGUUGAAAGCUCCGGCGGUGAAGGAUGAGCCCGCGGCCUAUCAGCUUGUUGGUGGGGUAAUGGCCUACCAAGGCGACGACGGGUAGCCGGCCUGAGAGGGCGACCGGCCACACUGGGACUGAGACACGGCCCAGACUCCUACGGGAGGCAGCAGUGGGGAAUAUUGCACAAUGGGCGAAAGCCUGAUGCAGCGACGCCGCGUGAGGGAUGACGGCCUUCGGGUUGUAAACCUCUUUCAGCAGGGAAGAAGCGAAAGUGACGGUACCUGCAGAAGAAGCGCCGGCUAACUACGUGCCAGCAGCCGCGGUAAUACGUAGGGCGCAAGCGUUGUCCGGAAUUAUUGGGCGUAAAGAGCUCGUAGGCGGCUUGUCACGUCGGAUGUGAAAGCCCGGGGCUUAACCCCGGGUCUGCAUUCGAUACGGGCUAGCUAGAGUGUGGUAGGGGAGAUCGGAAUUCCUGGUGUAGCGGUGAAAUGCGCAGAUAUCAGGAGGAACACCGGUGGCGAAGGCGGAUCUCUGGGCCAUUACUGACGCUGAGGAGCGAAAGCGUGGGG
rnacentral:rRNA from 1 species